GCCCAGCCCAACCUUACACCGCACGCACGCAACCUCGCCUCUCGUCUCUCUCGCCCACAGCUUCCUCCGGCGGCAGCUGCCCCGAGCGCCUGGGCCUGGCCACUGGAGCUCCGUCUCCCCGAGCUUUUCUAUCUGCAUCUCACGAGUUUUUUCGAUCCGAAUCUCAGAGCACACGGGAGAGAGGCUCCGUGCUCGUUUCCAGGACGACAGGGCAGGGGAGGGCGGUGGGUGCGAGGCAAAGAGGGGCGUUGGUUGCAUCUGGCGAGACGGGAGGGCGAGAUGCUGAGAUCUAGCUCCUCGCCGCGGGACGCGCCGACCUCGCCGCUGCCGUCGAGUCCAACGGUGGGUGGUUGUGGCUCUCCCUCGGAUGGUCUUCUGACGAUGCGCAGCCAUCGAGCGGCCCGGACAUGCACCCUGACUAUCCGCCCGAGGUGCGUGCCUAGCGCCGACCGCGGCGGCGGACUGUAGUCAGUGAGAGAGGAGAUGAGUAAGGGCGGCGAGGCGCCGUUUGACGCCUUCAACCACGUCGUCGCCACCUAUAAGAAUGUCGAGCAUAACUAUCCAUGGUGGUAUAUACACAAGCAGCGGCUCUGUCCGGCCCGGUGUGGCAUAUGCGGUCGUCUGUGUUGUGUGCUCUCGACUGUGAUGCGUGUGGCGGGCGUGCGAAAUGUGCGCCGGCCGACGUGCGUUUGUGUUCGUGUGUGUGGCGCUAUACUAGCAGAGGAAGCGGGCGGUUGCCGGUAGAGGAGGUUCAGGAUUAGUAUGGCACGAUUAGGAUUGUUCACUUUAUUUGUUUGGUCUGGAUUAGUACAACAAUGCAUUGAUAUUUAUUUUAUGGUGCAGGAACUUCAAGACAACAAGGGUCAUCAGGCUCUACACAUUCAUCUUUGAUUUUCUCCCCAAAUCUGAAAUUGUUGGACCCCUAAAUUUUAAUCCCCUUGAGAAAGCCAGAGUAUUCAUGGAAUAUGGUCUAUUGAUGUUGACAAAUUUGAUUGUAGCUGGGACUGGCAAAGUAAGUGCAGUGCUCACCAUUGCACAUAUAUUCAGGGCAAAAUCAAACUUCAGUCAGAAGAAGAUGACCAGGCAGGAGCUAUAUCCCUCUUGAAAGUUCAGGUAUCUUCCUCUUGCAUGUUGUUAUUGCUCUUUUUAUUUGCAUUGAAGCGUGGUUGUCAUACUAUAUCCUGGAGAGAAGUGAUUGCCUGGUACCUAGGAGGACGGGUGUUCACUUCUUUAUUGCUAAUGGAUAAAAUCAUCCAUCAUGAAUUUUCCAUCUGAGUGGCAACGCUAGACAAGAGGAAGGUCUGGUAACUCUCAUCCAAUCCCUUUGGCCGUUUUUGGAUUUCAUACCCGUCGAUGUUACUAGGGUUAUGGGUUUGAGAGGCUAUUUCAUUUGUGGUCUGAGAUGGAACACCUUGAGUAGGUCCCCGUGUUGGUUUGGUGGCCGGGAUUGGGGUUGGAUGGAUUGUUGUCCCAAAUUUGCUAAUUCUUGCGUAGUAAUCUGUAUAGCACAACUGUGACGGUGCCUUUCUGUUUGGUAAUAGAUGGAAUUUUUUGUGCAUUUCUCUUUGGUUAGAUGAAUAGAUUGAUUGUGAUGACUUGUCGGCAAUGCAUGGCAAGGACAACAAAGCUGCUCGAUCUAAUAAAUAAGAGUUAGAAGACGUAGCUGCUGUCGCAUAAGAACCCGUCUCUACUGAAGUACCAGAUGCGUAAGUAGACCGAUGCUUGUCGUUUUAGUUAAUAGUCUGUCAUGUUUUACUUGUCUGAUACUGAUUAUACUAUGCCAAGAUAGCAAUGCUAUAAGUUACUCAGCAUUUUUGUUAAAAUUCGAAUCUGUAGAAACUAGAAAGGAUGGUGCUCUGUUCUUAUCUAUCUGUUGUUUUCUCAUUGUUUCUUUUAGAUCCUGACUUUUAUUGAUGGGAAGAGUUUAAGUGUGGGAUUUAUGUUACCAAAUCCAUUUGAUCUACUGUUUGGCUCUGAUUCAAAUGCUCUUGAUUUGGCUCUCCACUUGUUAUCUGCAUUAUGUACCCCAUGCUUUUGAAAGGUAAGCUCGACAAACAAAUUAGUGUAGAUCCCUGUUUUCUGGGUAAUUGGUAUCAUUUUGUGAGUCAUUAGUCUUUCAGAGUUAGUGUGAUGUAGAGUACUGGGUCUUGUACAUUGUUACUCUUUCAGAUUUUGUAACUUACGGAAGAGACGAGUAAGGCUGGUAAUUAAGAGCUUCCUGCAAAGAACUAACGUUUUAAGUUGGAGAAGGAUGCCUACACGCCUAAUUUAAUAAUAGCAACAUUUGCAAGGAUGCAAAGGAUUGUUUUCUAUGUUGUUCCCUUUCUUGCUUUACACAAAUAACAAUCUGGUGGUUCUCUUGUGGAGGGAAAACUCUACAUGGUACGUAAGGCGAGGUCUGGGCACACAAGUUGUCAUUCUAUUUGUUUGUAGAAGUUAUUCAAUUGAAAAACCUUUAUACUUGCGGUUGGCACAUCUCCUAUCAUCAGCUUAAGAAGGUAUUUACUACAGCUAGAACUUAUUAUAAAUAUUUUCUUAGAGGUUGAAACGUCUAUGCGCAUCAACUUAAAAAGAUUCUAGAUGCAUCUCUUUUAGUUUUGAUUCUGCCAGCUUUCAGGGAAAUAAACAAUUUUUCUUAGAGGUUGAUACUUUAUUUUACAUGUGUGGUAAGAACUUUAGAACUAACGAUUUAAGAUAGUACCAAUGCUCAGUGAACAUGUAGCUGUUGUAUUAGUUUCUUCUUUUCGCCCAUCGAUUUGCAGGUCACUAAACAGAAGCCUGCUGAGGUUUUCUCAAACUAAGGUCAAGUAUGCUCUUAGACUCCUUGAUAUUUAAUAUUGGUUGUGAUAAGUUCGUAUGUGUUUUUAUAUAUCUUGAAAUAAAAUAAGCAACUUGUUUUUUAAUGACUAAAAAUGGUGUAAGUGGAAUUCAUCAUCUUAAAAAGUAUCUAGGAUAAUUCAUAUAUGUUAGAUAUCUUGAAUCCAGUAAGAGCUAAAACUCAUUAUGUUCUUUGUUGUAGCAUAUUGGAUUGGACAGGGUGCCGUUUUGUUCGAAAGAUUGGAUUGAUGGGGGUAUUUGGUUUUAUGAUGGCCAGGUUGAUCAAAAUCACAUGGUCUUUUUUAUAUUGUGAGAAGAAAAAGACACCGGAACAGGCUAAAUGUUUGCAGACAGGGGAAACUGUUGCUGUUAAGAUGGUUUUUCAGGAUAAGCACUACAAGAACUGUGAGCUUCAGAUCAAACACCUACUUGACCACCCAAAUGUCUUAGGUCUAAAGCAUGGUUUCUUUUCCAAAACUGAGAAGGAUGAGCUCUUUAUGAACUUGGUUCUGGAGUAUGUACAUCACAUUGUCGCGCUACAUGCUUAACUCUCGCCCGAGCCGUUGCGCUGUCGCAACCUUUGCAAAUACUCUGAUAACUAGGUGGUGAUCAAUUGCUGAUGGCUCUCUGUAGUGGCUUGGUGGUGGGAAGGAAUAGGGCGGUGGAGGCAAGGCAGAGAGUGGGUGCUUCCCGCACUCGCCAGGCUAUCCGUGAUGCAUCUAAUAUGUUAGCAGGUUUGCGUACCACGACACGACAUUGGCAGUGGCAUCUUGGGGGAAGAAGGGGAUGACAAUGACUUAGAGAGGAAGAUCACAAUGACAACUUGCAGCGUAAUAGGCUGACAAUGCCACCGUGGAUACUCUCCUGCACUAGCUAUUCAGGUAUAUUUAUCUUCUGAAUAUGAACUUCUAUAGAAUUAUGGGCUUGGUGUUGCAUGGUUGAUAGAACCACUUCUCAUUAUACUUGCAUCACAGUUGUGAUUUGGACAAGUUCCAUUUAAAUAAAUUAUAAAUUCUUAAUGAUUUAUUUCGAUAUGCUUACAUGCUUACUGAUUUUGUGAUUAUUCAUCAUUUAGUUUUGUCCAUACUUGGUUUCUAGCACACGCUACCACAGUUGUUUUACAGUUUUUGGUAUACUGCCCUUUUUUCAUCGAUUCAUGAACUGUUAUGGUGGUUACCACUCCCUCCUGUCAUGCAACUUAGUGAUUUCAUUCUAGCUGGCCAGCCUACAGUAGUGCAGAUGACCAUACAAUUCAUUCCAUGUUAAUUUGUAAGAUUAAUGUACUCCUCCGUUCCUAAAUACAAGUCUUUGUAGAGAUUUCACUAUGGACAACAUAUGGAGCAAAAUGAGUGAAUCUACACUCUAAAAUGCAUCUAUAUACAUCCGUAUGUGGUCCAUAAUGGAAUCUCUACAAAGACUUAUAUUUAGUAACAGAGGGAGUAGUUCACAACAUGUUACCUGAAUUAGUAGAAACAACAACCCACAUGGUAUAUCAAUUUUCCAUGUUUUCCUCGUACUGUGGGUAUUGUAGCAGCAGUUGAAACUAAUGUUAGCUUGUCAUUCUGGAUAUUGUAUACAUUGACAUUGAACUUGAGAGUGGUAAGUGUUCUCUUAGUGACAAAAGAAGUCAGCACAACAAGAGAAGUCGGAGAAGCAAUCGAAGAAAGGAUGAAAACAAAAGAAAGAGAAAGUUGCAUCUGUUCCUGAAAGGAGAACAAUGGAUUACUUAAUGAACAUUGGUUUGUUUUUGCUUCAGGAGAACACUGGAUGUUCAUUUGAGUCUGCCAUGGCCACCAGUAGCGAUAACAAAGUUGCUGAUAUGGAGAUGCUCUCCUGUCAUGUAUGCUAUGAUCCAGACUGCCUUCCCUGACUUUUGAAACAACUUGUGAUGUAAUGUAUCAUCUACCAGGCUAUUAAAUUGAGUGCUACUCCCUGACAGUCACAUGUAAUGGAUUUCAUUUUCUUAUGUUAUUUAUGAAUAGCUCCUCAGUUUGAUCUGCA